UAGGCCUAUACACGCAAACGGAUUGGGCUACGUGAAUCCAAAAUCCGGUGGGCGGGGCGACGCGUUGGCUCCGCGAGCGGCGGUGACGAACUCGAUGAUCGCAUCGCCAACCCGGCUUUUAGAUUCGAUGCGCGCGGCGGCGUCGGCUCGAACGACCCUACCCCUCCUCCUCUCCGCGUCGCCACGAAAAGCGAUCCCGUCCUUGGCACCUCCGCCGGCCCGCGGUCUGUCCCUCGCCCCCGGCCUCGGCCUUCCCUCCCCCUGCCGCCUCCCGCUACCUCGGAUCUCUUCGAUGGCCGUGGCCUCCGUCGCUGCCCCGGAGCGGCACGAUGCCGGGGAUUGGUACUCCGUCCCAGAUCUUAGCCUCCGUGACCACCGCUUCACCGUCCCCCUCGAUUACUCCGCCGCUGCCGGCUCUAGCAUCACCGUCUUCGCUCGCGAGGUCGUCGCUGUUGGGAAAGAAGAAGAACAACUGCCAUACUUAUUGUACCUACAAGGUGGACCUGGAUUUGAGAGUCCUCGGCCUACUGAGGCUAGUGGAUGGUUGAAGAGAGCAUGUGAAGAGUAUAGAGUUGUUUUGCUUGAUCAGCGAGGAACUGGUUUAUCAACUCCUUUGACAGUCUCAUCUCUUUCACAAAUCAUGUCUGCAACAAAAUUGGUUGAGUACUUGCAACAUUUUCGGGCAGAUAAUAUCAUUAAAGAUGCUGAAUUUCUUCGUAGCUGUCUUGUACCAGAUUCUGGAACCUGGACGGUGCUAGGGCAAAGCUACGGUGGCUUCUGUGCAGUUACCUAUAUGAGUUUUGCUCCAGAAGGCCUAAAGUCUGUUCUCCUAACCGGUGGGAUUCCACCAAUUGCAAAGGGUUGCACUGCAGAUGUUGUAUACAGAGCCUGUUUUGAACAAGUUGUGCAUCAAAAUGAGAAGUACUAUAAGCGGUUUCCUCAAGAUGUUAAAGUUAUUUGUGAUCUUGUAAAUUAUCUGGCCAAAGCUGAAGGUGGAGGGGUGUCUCUUCCAUCUGGAGGUAUUUUAACCCCAAGGGGAUUGCAAACUCUUGGACUUGCAGGGUUAGGUUCUGGUGGUGGUUUUGAACGUCUACAUUACAUGUUUGAAAGGGUCUGGGAUCCUGAACUAGUUCCAGGAACGGGGAAGCGGAUAAGUUACUAUUUCUUGAAGGCUUUUGAGAGCUGGAUAGACUUUGAUACAAACCCACUCUAUGCUCUUUUGCAUGAAUCAAUUUACUGCCAGGGAGCUCCAUCACAAUGGUCUGCACAUAAAAUAAGGGGUGAAUAUGAUAGCAUAUUUGAUCCAAUCAAAGCUGCAAAAGAAUGUCGUCCUGUAUUUUUUACUGGAGAGAUGAUAUUUCCAUGGAUGUUUGAUGAGAUUCAUGCUUUAGGACCUUUCACAGAAGCUGCUCAUUUGUUGGCUGAGAAGGAAGAUUGGCCACCAUUGUAUGACAUUAGUAGAUUAAACAACAACAAGGUUCCUGUUGCUGCUGCUGUUUAUUAUGAAGACAUGUAUGUCAACUUCAAACUUGCAAUGGAAACAGCUUCUGAGAUUGCUGGGAUCAGGCUGUGGGUGACAAAUGAAUAUAUGCACUCCGGACUUCGUGAUAAUGGUUAUCAAGUUUUUGAGCAGUUGAUUGGUAUGCUGCAAGGCAAGAAACCUUGGUUUUGAUUUCAGAAUGGAGCAAUGAUGGAUGAUGUGACUCCUUCGACUAGUAAUUUGCAUAUAUUUAUCAGAUGCAGUUCAUCUUAUGAUAGUCACAAAUGAAUUGUAAAGACCAGCUUUGACCGUCAAAGUUGCAUUAUUCACAUGGAUCACAUGUAAGUUGCAAUUCAUUUUGGAGCUCCAUUUCAAAUCAGAAGAGGUCAGUCCCAGUCUAGAAUGCACGAGGAUCAAGUUUGAGACACUGUAACCACAAAAGUUCAAGAGCAGCUUCUUAGGCCUCAGAGUUAAAAGAAGUUGGCAUGCAUAUUAAGGUGAUUGAGGUUUGUUGGCCGCAUUGUUUUUUUCUUUGGUUAUUGAUAACAGUAAUUCCUUAUAGGAAGAUUACAUAUAUCAACGGAAAUAGUAUCACGUGGCAUGGUGCUCUCUUCAAAUCGGAAUGUAGUUUUUGAAAAGGGUGGAGAGAAAGUGCAUCGGAUGGUUUGCAUAUGAAGAAAUAGAGAGUAUUGAUCUGUCGUGGUGGCAACGAGCAGCCGAAGCUAUAGGUAUUAUUACUGUAUAACAAUUUCUGAAUGGCUUGAUUUAUUGCUUUGGCUGUGUUUUUUUUUUUUCUUUUUAGUUUUCCUAAUGCAAUUUUUGUUAUAUAUGUGAGUUGAUCUCUUAACUAGGUUUUUCAUUGGAUUUAAUUGAGAUUUUAUA